AGAGAGAAGAUGAGACGAUUCGAUCUAGUCUCUUUUCCCUCUUCCAUCUUACAAGAUCAAAGAUCUGAGUGAGUAUAUGGAAGGUGUUAGAAGAAAAGGUAGUAAAGAGUCUGGGUUGUUUCUUAAGACUCGGAAAAGGAAGAAAAAGAAAUGAUUUAUCUACUGAUCUUUAUAAUUUUGGUAUAUGCGGAGUCGGAAAUAUUAACAAUUUUGGUGCCCUCCGGUGCAUCCUGAAAUGAUAUGUGCAGAGGAUCAAGAAAAUGGGGAGCAAGGUGCGCACUCGAAGUCUCCAUCUACCAACCAUGUGAUCCUAAAACAUGGAUUUCUUCAUCUACCAUGUCUAUCGCCUGUGGAGCAUUUACGACAAGAAAGCUAUAUGGAAAAGACAUCACUAUACACCCCACAAAGCAAAUGAAAAGCGUUUUGCAGAUAAAACGUUUUUUUGGACUAUGGAAGAGCAUCAGGUCAACGGCAAAACUGCGUUUAAUAUAAAUGGUUAUGGAAAGUGAGAAGAGAAAUAUUUCAACAGUUCGGUUUAACAUAGUUUAAGAUUCCUGCCUCGAUAGAGAAAAGUGAAAUGAAAAUUAAAACAGUUCGGUUUCAUCCUAUUUUCUGAACUGGAAGUCUGAUACUACAGAACUUCUUGGAAGUCUUGAAGUGAUGUAUGAGAACAUUCCUGAAGCACAGGAAAGUUCGGUGAACUUAUCAUCAUAUCUCAAAUUUCGGGAGGAUGUGUGUUGUGUUUGGAGCACCAUUAACUAUUGGAAAUUUUAUGAACAGCAAGAGGUUCCGUCGGCUGAAACCAAACAUGUGGGGAAUUGGGUUCUAAUUACAUUCCUCCAAGGGUUCAGGUCAAUAAUGUUGACUAUCUGCGUUCUGCAUUGUACGACGAGGAAGAGGGGACAAGAUCUUUUGAAGCUCAUACAAACUACUGCUACAGGCUUUUUCCAAUUUGUGCUGCUGAAGCUGACUAUAUGCGGAAUGCUUGAGUUUGAGGAGCAGUUAGAAAGUAAUAUUGAUUGAAUCCAAAAGCCCCAAAACCUACCUGCUAUGCCAAAUUUAGGUGCGUUAUCACCAGAAGAUAAUGACUAGGCCCUUGAACUUUUAAAUUACAAGCCUAAUGUAGUUGAGGAAUCGCAACUGUACAUGGAUGAAUAAGGAUGUAGGUUCUGUCUUAGGCUCAGGUUAACUACUGCUACAUCUAAUCAUCUAUACCCUUGGUAGUAAUAAACAGAAGACGUAUGAUUGAAUGUCUACUGUCCACAGCCUUGUUAAUAGAGUGGGCUGUUACAGAGGGUUUUAACAAACACAUUUGACAAAACACAGCGACCAUUGGAUUACAUAUAUCCAACGGUUGCCAUCUUUCAUGACAUGGCAACAUUUUUUUUAAAGAUUGUGUUUGUUCGGAGUUAAA